CUGGGCUCAAGAGAUCCUCCCACCUCAACCUCCCGAAGUCCUGGGAUUACAGUCUCACAGAACCAUGGGGGCCACCAUAAACCUCCACACAAGCCUCCUAAAAAUUCUCUACCUUGGCUCAAGAGUAUGGGAGUCACGCUGCAGACAAUGGAGGUAUAAGAAAGACAUCCAAGGCCCCUGUGAGCUUCUCAAUCUCCACAGGCAUCACUAAAGGUGGGUGCUAGACUGAAAGGCAUGUCCAUCCUCAUGGGCAAUCUCAGGAUUCUCUAAGUCCUCCAAGGAGGCCAGCAAUGGCUUAUGUGGGCCUGGGUCACCCCUGCCAGCAGGGACUAGUACUAAGGAUGAGAUCCACCAAUGGCCACAGCUGAGUUAUGCCAAAUGAGAUGUCCAGACCUCAUGGUGCCUAGGAAGACAGAUGGCAGAAGCUCAGCCAGGCCAUGGAGAUUAAAACAGUGCUAGGGGCUUAAUGUAUGUUUUUAAUGGGUCUGCUACAUGUCAAGUUUGGAUCUGGAGUCCAGCCUAUAAUCCUAGCAAAAAUUAAACACCAAAUAUGAUAUUCAAUAAAGUGUAUGUGGCUAAAAACAUACGUUGGAAAUACACAUAACUAGAAACAUCCAAAUUCAAAGAGAAACUGCUAAUUCCACAAACAUGAUAGAGUAAUUUAAUAAUGAGAUCACACAUACAUAAAUAGUAAAUAUGAACUGUAUAUUUAUCUGAGUUCUAAAGACUUUUUUUUCCGUCUCAGUACACUAGUGGGUAUACGUCACCAGUAAAAUCAAAGGGGUAUUCCAAUUACAUUCAUGAUAUUAAUAAGUAUGAUAAAUGUAAGUAGCCAGAACCAUGGAAUUGGGGCUACAGCUGUGAUCUUCAAGAAACGUAAAACUUUAAAAACACUCAUAAACCAAGAAAAAGAUAAAACAGGAGUUACUUGACUUUCCAAAUUGUUACAAAUUCAGUACAUAUUAAUAAGACUUAAAAAGAUAAAACAAUUUAAUAAAUAAUAAAAUAAUGUAAUGAAUGAACAGAUUUGACAGAAAUCAAUAAUUAAAAAGUUUUGAGAGCAAAAUCAUGAAACUGAAAAGACCCACGGUGGAAAGAAAAAACACAGGUUAAUAAAAGAGACUGUAUUUAUUUAAAAGUAGUAAUUUAAAAUCUAAGAAAUGGGAAUAAUUAUAUUCCAACAUGAAUAUGUAUAUUACUUUCCACAAAAAGAGUAAAAACUUUCCCUCAUUAAUCAGCACAAAAAUCUGAUUAGCCAAUUUUAAUGUUUAAGUUAUAUAUCAGAGUUUAACUGUAAAAGUGAUUUGUGAGAGUUCUUACAUGUGAAAUCACUUCUAGUUCCUUUGUAACCUAAGUUAUUUUGAAGGAGAAAAAUAAGCCUGUCCUCAUUAGUUUAUUAUGCUAAUCAAAAUGAACAUGAAUGUAACAAUAACUACAAAUUUAACCAACAAUUUUCCUUACUUACAUUUGCAAAAAUCAUCAAUACAAUUUUAGCCAUUUGGCUAUUUAUUUUGGCCACCUGGCCAUCACUGGUAUGGUUAAAUAAUGACAGAGCAUGGUAAAGUGGAGUUUAUUGCAAUAAUAAAAGGAUAAUUCCAUACUAGAAAACCUAUCAUUUUCACAAAGUAAUUUUAAAGAUUAAAAAAAUCACAUUAAUAGACCUUUGAAAAAACAUUUUCAUAUAAUUUAAAUCUUUAAAAAUAAUAUAAAAUCUUUAAAAAUCAUACCAAAUUGUGGGGACUAAUUCUUCUUAAUCAAUAAAAUCUCAACAAUAUAUUCAGCAGUUAACAAAAGAACCAUUUCCACUAAAGGUAAGGCUGGAAAAAGGAGGCUGGGUGAGGCUGAUGCCAUUCACCACUGCACAUGAUGCCUGAGGUGGGACCAAAACAAGAGGGAAAAGGAGAGGGACUACAAAAAUGGAGUCAAAGAGCUGCAACUGUAGUUAUUCUCAGAUGACGUGACUGUAAACUUGAAAAAGUGGAAUCAAUUCUAAUUAUCAAUACUAAUAAGAAUAUUUAAAAAGUGGGCAAAACUAUUAUGAAUAUUCUGAAAUCAAUAUUUCCUGUUUAGCAACAUUAGUCCUUAAAAAAAGCAAACACACAAAAUCAGUGUCUAUUUACAACAGGCAAAUAUUAUGACUACGAUUUGAAAUAAAUUUGUAGACCCAUGUAAAUAAAUUUUAAAACUUAAUGAGGAUAUAAAAAUGACAUGAAUAAAGCCUGAAAAUCCUAUUAUUAGAAUGGAGGACAUAGUGACAUAAAACCUCAGUGACUGUAGACUCAGGGCAACCUAGACUUAAAAGUCCCAUGUGGUCUUUUACAUGUAAAAAAUGAGAAUUAGUCUAAAAGUCAAUUUUGUCUAAAUUUUGAUUUUUGGUGAGUAUACAGUCAAAAUAGUUGUGAAAAGAAAAAAAUAAAGUUGUCAAAUUUCAUGUAACCUAUGUUAUUUGGAAAUUUAAAAUAAGUCAUAUAAAUAUUUAUAACAAUAUUAAACAAUUUCAUAAGUGGACUGAAUAAAACAUAAUAUUUUAUCAUAUACAAUAGCUCCUGCCUUCCUGAGGAAAACAUAAAAUCAAAGGGCGUGAAGGAAGGAUUUUGGUUUCACUGCAGAAACAUAAUAAGACACCGAAGUGUGUGUUUGUGUGUGCGUACAUAUAAUUAAACUACAGAAUAUAAAAUAGCAUCUAAUAUACAUCAAAAAUGAGUUUCAUAGAAAAAUUCAUUUUACACAUAUGUCUAUAAAAUAAUAAAAUUUAUUCAGCCUCACAAUUACUUUGUGAACUGGAAAUAACAAUGAGUUGUCAUUUUAUCCAAAUCUAAAAAAAAAAAACAUACAUACAGUAUCAAGUUCUGGUUAAAGUAGUAGAUGAACUUUAUGUGGUACAUAAGAGUAUCUAUACAGUUUGUGGGCUGCAUCUUGCUAGAAUAUAUUACAUUAUAAAAUGCACCAUUUAUUUACUCUGCGAUCAAACCCCCAACUUGCCCCAAGUGGAGGAACCCUCAGACAUUUGCAGAGCAGUCAGUGUGCUAGUAAGCAGCAUUCUUUACAAAUCUAUGAACAUCAAGGUCUCCUUGGAACAGAUGUUCUGUGAACAAUUUAUAAAACUCCCUCCUGUUAGACACUUAGGUUGAUUCCAUUUUUAAAUCAAUUACUGAAUAAAACACACUCCAUCGUGUGGAUGAAAUGCUACCUUAAUUUGUCAAAGCUAUCAUUUUCUAAACUUUUCUUUUUAAUUCAAAUCAUUAAUAUUUUGUGGCCAGAUCAAUACUGAUUCAUUGUUUUAAGCUUCAAAUGCAUUAUACAGUUGGGCAGAACACAUUUCCUCUCAUCAAUCUUCUUUUCCAGGAUUUGUCAGAUAUUCCUGACAUUAAUUCACUACUAAUAUGCACAGUUUCUCUAAUCAUGGUCAACAAAGAUCUGACAGUGCAUUGUCCCUAAACGACCCAUACUUGCCUCACUGACACCAUGUGGCCCACUUCCCAUCUAUAAUCUAUGUCUGGGUGUGAAGCCCUUCCCAUAUGAUCCCCCGAAUGGAACUUCACAAGUUCGAAUUCACUGGGUCACAGUGUGAUAGCGUGAAGAUGGGAGGACGUUAAGGGAAGGCUAUGGGUGAGUUGGGAAAUGUGUUAGGCAGGGUCAGAGAUUACCACAUCCUAAAAACAACACUUAAGGCGGGAGAUGACAAAACAAUCAAUGAAUAACAUGACUUUUUCCAGUGAAAGUGCCAUAUCUAAUCCUUUUCCAUUUUUGUUCUCUGAGCUUCUUUCUUAGGGAAGAUCCUUCUUGAGAAGCCCCUGCUGAGUAUUAGGAAAAUGCAUUUCAGGACCUCUCAUCAACACACCCUCUUUCUUUACCACAACCACAUAUAUGGGGGCAUAACUCAACAUGUGUAAAAGACAAUCUUCUGCUUUUCACUGAACCUCCAGGAAUUCAGGACAAUAAACCUCUACAUGCAGACCAACAGGUGAGUUUUUCUGCCCCUUCUUUCAUAACACCGUUCUUCCCUAGUGAAGUCCACACACAUCCUUACAUGGCAGCUGUGGGUAUAUCAACUGGUCUGACCCCUUUUAGUCACAGAGCCUGAAGUCUGCUAGUACCUGCUGAGCACAGUGUCAUGGGUGAGAAUGGGCAAGGCUUUUUCUUUCUCUGGUUCCUGAACUUCCCAGGCUCUCUCACUUCUGGAUCCUGAAUACCCAAAUCCCAAGCUUCCUUCCCAGAACCAACACCUCCUCCUCAUUAGAAAGAUACCUUUGUUGUGUGCUUACUUUAUAAAGUCUUGCUCUUUCCCUGUCCACUGCCUUGUGUCACUAUGUGUGUGUCUUGGGGCCGGUGGAAAGGUGAACAGAAGCCAGUAGAGAGUAACAAGCACCAGCUUCACAGGAAUGGCAUGACCUUAAUACGAUAGUGGCAGUUUUCCCUUAACAUCCCUGCCCCCUAAAGAUUUCAGAUCAUAUGUCACACUCUUAAGUAACAGCGAUUUGUCUUUCACGGUUUUAAUCAUAUUGAUUAAAAGCAUUUGUCUUCUCCAGAACAUCACAUUAAGUCAUCAAAAAAUAUAAACCUUAAAAAGAUGUAAUUAUUGGAACUGAAAAACAUAAAAGGUGAGCUUUGGAAAUAUCUUUGAGCAGUCUAUUCAUUAUGAACACAUGUAAUCUGUUGGAACAAAGUUCUAGGACAAUCCAGGUCAUCCUUCAAUAUUUGCAGAAAACAGCACAAAGAAAACUUGAUACUUAAACUUAGUUGGAAACUUUAUGCCACAGCCAUUAAAUACAGAGAUCAUAUAAAGGAAUAGAGGAAGCUGUUGAAUACUAAACUAACUCAAAUCAUCAUUAUCCUUACGAAGUGCACACUGAAUUAAUGUAAAAAGCAUUUAGUAAACAAAAAGUAUUUUCAAUAUACAAUUAAGACUGAAAAGUAUUGAGGCCUCAUAAGCUGAACCUGACACAAUAAAUUUAAAAGGGAAACUAAUUUGGAAAUCAGAAAACCAUCUAAAGAAUUUGGGAAUUAGGCUUCUGCUGCCCUCUCUGCUACUGACGGUCAAGGCCUCCUCAUUGUAUUCUGUCCUCCAUAUCUCUGCUGAUUCCCAUUUUGUCUAUUUCCAUUUACCCCACUACUACUUGCUCAGGUCACUCUCCUUCAUUGUCGGUGUUUGUUCAAAUUCCUCAGACCCAUCCACUUCCCAUCUAAACUUCCCUCCCCUUUUCUCGCUCGUUGGCUCUACCUCCCUCCUCUGUUUUCUCCUCACUCUCCUGCCCCACCUCGACAUCCACAGCGAGGCAAUGAAGAAGCCCCUGCCAAGGAAGAGCCCGCUUCUCAGUGGGACACCGGGAAGGUAAACACCCAACAGUCACCGCUAGUGGGAGGCGAUUGUGCAGAAGCACGAGGGUUGUUACAGGAUCGGGCAGGUCCCCUACCCCAGUCUCGGACUCAGGGUCCUGUCUGAGGCGGCCACCCCGAAGCGUGGGGUUUGCGGAGACGUAGGGCCUGGCGGAGGGAAGGAUGGGGAAGCAUCUCAGGGAGGACUGGCGUCUGCCGAAUCCCAGGGCUGCCCUGAGGGGCCAAGAGGGGCGAGGGUGGGGACGAUGGAAGACAAGCCACAUGCCGAAUCGGGACCUGAGGCCGCGCGCGAUAGGAUGGGCGGACGGUGAAGAGAACUAGGGUGGAAGGGCCGGACAGGGGCGACCUCAGUGACGGAACCGGACACAGACGCAGAUCUGGCAGCUGGGCGACAGGCUUCGGAGCAUUUCCGGGCGUCGCGGGACUCCCCGCCGACAGGAGGGCGGUUGCCGAGCCUGUGACAUCCGCGGAGACCAGCAGACCCCGGGUGUGGAGGACGCCGCAGGAAGGGAACUGCGUGGCUGGGUUUGGCCACAAAAAGCGGAGGGCACUCACCCGAGCGGACCUCGGCUCCGGAGAAUCCGUUUCCGGGUCAACAAAAAAC
rnacentral:lncRNA from 1 species